GAUGAACGCUGGCGGCGUGCCUAAUACAUGCAAGUCGAGCGAACGGACGAGAAGCUUGCUUCUCUGAUGUUAGCGGCGGACGGGUGAGUAACACGUGGAUAACCUACCUAUAAGACUGGGAUAACUUCGGGAAACCGGAGCUAAUACCGGAUAAUAUUUUGAACCGCAUGGUUCAAAAGUGAAAGACGGUCUUGCUGUCACUUAUAGAUGGAUCCGCGCUGCAUUAGCUAGUUGGUAAGGUGACGGCUUACCAAGGCAACGAUGCAUAGCCGACCUGAGCGGGUGAUCGGCCACACGGGAACUGAGACACGGUCCAGACUCCUACGGGAGGCAGCAGUAGGGAAUCUUCCGCGAUGGGCGAAAGCCUGACGGAGCAACGCCGCGUGAGUGAUGAAGGUCUUCUGAUCGUAAAACUCUGUUAUUAGGGAAGAACAUAUGUGUAAGUAACUGUGAACAUCUUGACGGUACCGAAUCAGAAAGCCACGGCUAACUACGUG
rnacentral:rRNA from 1 species